rnacentral:rRNA from 1 species
AAAAGUAAAAGAAGGGCAGACGGUGAAUGCCUUGGCUCUCGGAGGCGACGAAGGACGUGAUAAGCUGCGAAAAGCCCGGUUGAGGUGCAAAUAACCCUUGACGCCGGGAUGUCCGAAUGGGGAAACCCGAUUGGUAGAAGACCAAUCACAUCGAAAGAUGAGCGAACGUGGGGAACUGAAACAUCUAAGUACCCAUAGGAAGAGAAAAUAACAAUGAUUGCGUAAGUAGUGGCGAGCGAACGCGCAAAAGCCCAAACCAUAGAUGUUUUGGCAUCAUAUGGGGUUGUAGGAUCGCAAUGUGGCAAGAAACAAAGGAAGUGGAACCCGCUGGAAAGAGGACCAUAGAGGGUGAAAGUCCCGUACACGAAUCUUUUGUAAAGCCUAGCGAUAUCCUGAGUAAGUCGGGACACGUGAAAUCCUGACCGAAUCUGCGGGGACCAUCCCGUAAGGCUAAAUACUCCCGAGAGACCGAUAGUGAACCAGUACCGUGAGGGAAAGGUGAAAAGAACCUCGAAUAGAGGAGUGAAAUAGACCCUGAACCCGUCUGCCUACAAGCGGUCGGAGCAUCUUUAAGGUGUGACGGCGUGCCUUUUGCAUAAUGAACCUGCGAGUUGUUUUUUUUGGCAAGGUUAAGCAUCAGUAGGUGCGUAGCCGAAGCGAAAGCGAGUCUGAAUAGGGCGCCUAAGUCAAAAGGAGCAGACGCGAAACCAAGUGAUCUACCGAUGGCCAGGCUGAAGGUUGGGUAACACCAACUGGAGGGCCGAAUGGAUAUACGUUGAAAAGUGUUCCAAUGAGCUGUGGGUAGGGGUGAAAGGCUAAUCAAACUUGGAGAUAGCUCGUACUCCCCGAAAUGCAUUUAGGUGCAGCCUCGGGUAAGGUACUGAUGAGAGGUAGAGCGACUGAUUGGAUGCGAGGGCUUCACCGCCUAUCAAGUCCGGCCAAACUCCGAAUGCUCAUCAGCAACAUCCCGGGAGUGAGGGCAUGGGUGCUAAGGUCCAUGUCCGAGAGGAGAAGAAUCCAGAUCACCGGCUAAGGUCCCCAAAUAGCAGCUAAGUUGCAUUAACGAAGUCCGACCGCAGCGACAGCCAGGAUGUUGGCUUGGAAGCAGCCAUUCAUUUAAAGAGUGCGUAACAGCUCACUGGUCGAGGGGUCGGGCAUGGAUAAUAAUCGGGCAUAAGCUGUUUACCGAAGCCGUGAGAUCGAAAAGAUCGGUAGGGGAGCAUUCCAUUAUCAGCGUUGAAGAUGAGGGGUGACCCUUGUUGGAGCGGAUGGAAAAGCAAAUGCAGGUAUAAGUAACGAUAAAGGGGGUGAAAAACCUCCUCGCCGAAAGACCAAGGGUUCCUGAUCAACGCUAAUCGGAUCAGGGUUAGUCGGGACCUAAGGCUAAGCCGAAGGGCGAUGCCGAUGGAAGAACCGGUUAAUAUUCCGGUACUGCUUUGUGGAGUGAUGUGGAGACGGAGAAGUGACAGCUCGGCCAUCUGACGGAAUAGGUGGUUGAAGGGUGUAGACGUUGAUUGUUGUAGGCAAAUCCGCAACAAGAGUCGAACCUGACAGUAUGCAGCGUACUUGUACAAUGUAAUAAGAGCGUAAUCAGGCUCCCAAGAAAACCCGCUAAACAUAUCUACAAAGCACCCGUACUCGAAACGGACACACGUGGUCGGGUUGAAAAUACUAAGGCGCUCGAGUGAUUCACGGUUAAGGAACUAGGCAAAAUGGUCCUGUAACUUCGGGAUAAAGGACGCCAAUAGCAAUAUUGGUCGCAGAGAAUAGGCCCAGGCGACUGUUUAACAAAAACACAUGACUAUGCGAAAUCGAAAGAUGAGGUAUAUGGUCUGACACCUGCCCGGUGCUGGAAGGUUAAGAGGAGAUGUCAUCCUGUAAGGGAGAAGCAUUGAAUUGAAGCCCCAGUAAACGGCGGCCGUAACUAUAACGGUCCUAAGGUAGCGAAAUUCCUUGUCGGGUAAGUUCCGACCUGCACGAAUGGUGUAACGAUCUGGGCACUGUCUCAACUGUGAGCUCGGUGAAAUUGUAGUAUCGGUGAAGAUGCCGAUUACCCGCGAUGGGACGAAAAG